rnacentral:rRNA from 1 species
GACAGAGGGGGCAAGCGUUGCUCGGAAUUACUGGGCGUAAAGGGCGCGUAGGCGGGAUGGCAAGUCGGUCGUGAAAUCCUUCGGCUCAACCGAAGAACGUCGAUCGAUACUGCUGUUCUAGAGGAUUGCAGAGGAGACUGGAAUUCCCGGUGUAGCGGUGAAAUGUGUAGAGAUCGGGAGGAACACCGGUGGCGAAGGCGGGUCUCUGGGGCAAUUCCUGACGGCUGAGGCGCGAAAGCGUGGGGAGCAAACGGG